CUUACACACACAGAUCCAGCAAUAAACGCGGAAAGAAUGUCCGCAACAGUGGACGUAACCCUGCAACAGUGUGUGCUUUCACACAGCGAUCCAGCUUUCCAGGUUAGACCGUGAAAAGAAAAGAAAACGUGACUUGUAACAGUGUUGAAACGCCACACCUGUUCCGCCAUGCCGGUGUGGCUUUUCACUACUUUCUCUAUCUAUUUACUAACAGCUGUGUUUUUUUAAAUUAAUUCUGGGAUGAUUGCUGUGUCAGUCUGAAUUCCAGGAUCCGGGUUGAGUUGUGUCCUCCCUGAUGGAGAAGAUGAGUCUGUUAGUAUUUUUAUUAUGAUUAACUGUGUUUGCAGAUUUACAUCCUGCAGCUGCAGCACCAGCAGUGGUGGAGUCUACGUGAUACGCAGGGAUACGAUGACACGAACGUUAAGGUUACUGAAACUACAGAAAACGAGCCGGAUGAGGUGAUGCUGUCGUAACGUUACCUGCAGGCGCUGCUCACCCGCCUGAUCGUCACACUGAACCUUUUCAGAAUCUGAACCAGAAUCAGCUUUAUUUGCCAGAACUACCAGCGUCAGCAUCACUACAACAACCCAGCAGCGACCCACCUCCAUCCACUGCCCGUGGGACUUCAUCUUGAGGACCACGCAGGGGUCGGGUUUGGACAGAGCAUCGCGGUCCGAGAUCCCCUUGCAGCAAACGUGUGUUGCAUGGAACUAUUUCACUCGAGUGUUUCACUGAAAAAAGAAAGUGUGUGAGAGGAGUAACCUGUCCUGUUGAGCAGCUUCUUCACCCGAGCUGUCAGGCUUUUGAAAACCCUGCCGCCAUCCACUGCAUGAUCAACAAGCACCACCACCACCACCACCACCAACCUCCCUCUGCACCUAACGGCUGCUGCACUUCACGUUCAAUUCAAUUCACCAGCAAUCAACAGUGUCCGACAGACGUGUUUGCCCUCUUGCACUUUUUAUCAGCGGAAACACUCUGAGUGCAGCAUGUCCAGCGUCGGUGUGUGAUUGAUCUCUGAUCUCACACAGCAGCUUCGGGCUCAUCGCCUCUAUCAUCUGAUAGAAACCCUGGAUGAUAACCUCCGCCCUCACAGGAAACCAUUUCUGCUGUGUCUGGAAGAAGCAAUCGUAUCUCCACCUCCAUCUCCAGCACUUCACCUCCCUCCAUUAUCCCAUCAGCAGCACUCCGGCUCAUCUGAUUAACCCCCGGCAGCAUCCGGUCGCCUCCAACAGGCCGUCAGGAUUCUUGUCUACAGGAGGAAGUUAUAGAUAUCCGCCAACGAUAUCUCCAACGGCUCGGGUUGCACGGGAUGUAAAGGCAAAGAGAAGGUUCACUGUUAGAGUCCAGGGGUCUCAUUUAUAAAACUGUGCGUAGGAAAGAGAAAAUAAAAAUUUUUAAUUAAAGGUUGUGUAUGCAGCGUUUUUAAAUGAGACCUUUUAACAGCAGACCACAGAUCAGUUCUCUUAACUGAACUUCAGAGGGUUUCGCUUUUCACCACUCUGCAUGCUGCUGCUGGAGAAAGGGAGUAACAGUAACCGGUGUCCCUGAAAUCCCUUCUCAGACCGAUCAGAGGCAGGUUCCUCUGUUUCUUCUCUCAGAUGGAGUCUUUUGGAGGUCAAACUGUCACAGUCUUCUUGGUGUUUUGGGAGUUUGAUGUCUUCUUUAAGCCCUUCCGCUUUUGUUUUGUUCCUUAUGUUCAUUCGUUCUGCUUCCUGUCUUACUUUGAAAUCGUUCUUUCUUGUGUGUCUCAUGCUGCUUUUCCUCCCUGUCUUUCCCUCGAUUGUUUGCACCUGUCUCCUUCCCCAGAUUAUGAUCACUUGUGUCUCGUUAUUCUCACCCCUCCUGUGUAUAUUGUCUGUCAGUUGUUAACUGUGUGCUCGUUGUUCACCACUGUCUUCACCAGUGUUUGACUACCACCCACAGCUGUGCUCUCCAGUGUCUCGUCUUGAGUCUUGAGUCACCUUUUGGUCUCUGGAUUUUACUUUUUGUUCCACAGACUGUAUAAAAGAAGUGGACGUAGUCAUCGUAAUGUCGCCCGUUGGUUUGUGGAUUGUCAUUUUGAAGCCUUGAGUUUGGCCGUGUUAAA